AUUUUAUUCUUACAUUUUAACUUCUGCACUAUUUUUUACAUAUUUAAUGAGCUUUUCUGGUGGAGGCCGAGAUCUAAGGGUUCCUUUGCCAGCAGUCGAUGGAAAAACCCACUUGAAACAAAACCAUCCAUCUAAAUGUGAGUCUCUAAUUCGUCCUCCGAGGACACCGAAGAGACCUCACUGACCUUCUGACAUAAAACAGGAAGGUUAAAGUGGUGAAAUCCACCCACAGCCGCUCGGUGCCCGCGAGCUGCAGGGCGAGAAGCUCCAAUAACACAUCGCACCGUGAUGUAUGACGCCAUUACGCUGCAGACAGAAGGACUUCCACCUCAUUAAUGGAGCGGUUUCAUUCGGAUCGCAUGACGUUCUGGUUAUUGUUCUGUUGGAGGGGAGGGAGCCACGAGUUUCAUUUCCACUGAGAGGAGGAGAGAGAGGAACUGAUCCGAAAAGCCGUGAAAGAUGGUGGGACUGGUCAUCAUCAGUGCUGGAACGUCACAAGGUUUUGGAUACUUCGCCCUUCGCCGUAAGGCAAAACAUAAUAUCCCAUCUCACAUUUUAUUAAAGGCUGAGCUACCCAGCAGCAUAUAAAGCAGUUUAAAUAAUCCACACCUUCUCCAAGUGCAGCCUCAAAGGGAUGGACAUAAAUAUGACUCGGAAACGGCCCGUUCUGGAGAAUGAACACUUCUAGAACAUUCAUUUUAUGCUAAUACCAUCUAAUAUGAUGUUGAAUGAAGGACGUUCCCUGUGAGUUUUCUAAUGCUGUGGAAAGUGUGUGUGCGCGUGCCUGUGUGUGUGUGUGUGUGUGUGUGCAUGCAAGCUCCUGCUGCCUCUGAACCCACAAACAGAUGGAGACGGGACGUUUUUGCCCUGAACUCAGCCUCUCAGGACAUUCUCCCUGCAGGACCUGGAACACCUCCAGAACCUGCAGAAAUGCUUUGGACAGUUGAGGUUAUUGAUCAGGAGGCCGGUCACAGCCCGUCCUCUGGCUGAAGGUAGCUUCAGAACUCCGGAGAAACUCUUAGCGGUUCCAGGUCGGUGUUUUUUCAGCCUCUUAGUUUCAUGAUUGUGGUUCGUUCGGAGUUACAAAGAGUCCUCACAUGAGUCUGACAAGCACCUCCAACCAACUGUCCUUGGGUUCCCCCUUUCUCCCCCUCACACACACACGGAAGUCGAUGAAUACGUCUGAUGUCACGAGUGUCCUCCGGACGGUUUGUCUCCGAAGCUUUAGGUGGCGUUUGUUGGACGUGAGACUGGGUGGGACGUAUUGACAAAAGAUACACAGGUGUGUUGUGACAACAGUGCGUCCAGGGGGGCGAAAUGUGACAUUAACUGAAUAAACAGAUCCUUCGCUGAGGUCAAAGACACUGUAAACAUACCUGCAAGGGAAAGAACACUUGAGUGAAAGUCAGUAGACUAGGAAGAAUGCAGAAGAACCAGCAAUUUAUUCAACAAGCAGUCGGCUCAGCUUCGCGGGCCACACUCAAUAAUUCCUGUCAAUCAACUCAUUUGAACAUUAUCCUGUUUUUUGUGACAAAAAUAAUCCAUUUUCUUUUUUUUUUCGUUUUAAAAAGUAUUUUAAUAUAAUUGCAUUGAGCAUUUGAGCGACCUGAGACACAAAUCAAUACAGCUGACCUCAUGGUCGCUGAAAGUUCAUUUAAUUGAUAGCAAUAUUUAUUAUUAGUGAUCACCAAUCUGGUUUCUGCCACCUCAAAGCCCCCCAAGCGUUUAUUGCUGUUUAAUUAUCACGUCUCAUUGCAUUGAUAUUACAGGAAAUCCAUUUGUUUUUCUGGUCGAAUACUAUUAUUGUGCA
ensembl:lncRNA